rnacentral:rRNA from 1 species
CCUACGGGAGGCAGCAGUGAGGAAUAUUGGUCAAUGGGCGGAAGCCUGAACCAGCCAAGUCGCGUGAGGGAAUAAGGCCCUACGGGUCGUAAACCUCUUUUGCCGGGGAGCAAGGGCGGGGACGUGUCCCGGCCCGGAAAGUACCCGGAGAAAAAGCAUCGGCUAACUCCGGGCCAGCAGCCGCGGUAAUACGGGGGAUGCGAGCGUUAUCCGGAUUUAUUGGGUUUAAAGGGUGCGUAGGCGUGCUUUUAAGUCAGCGGUAAAAAUUCGGGGCUCAACCCCGUCCGGCCGUUGAAACUGGGGGCCUUGAGUGGGCGAGAAGAAGGCGGAAUGCGUGGUGUAGCGGUGAAAUGCAUAG